GAGGGUAUAGCUCAAAGGGCUAGAGUGCAUGCUUUGCGUGCACAAGGUCCUGGGUUCAAUCCCUAGUACCUCUU
rnacentral:tRNA from 1 species